rnacentral:lncRNA from 1 species
AAAAAAAAACCUCACUUUUCUCUGGAAGUUUUCAGAAUCCAGCCACGGGAUCGGAGAGCCGUCGUCGCACGCGCCAUUAUCGGUGCCGCCGUAUACGGUGGCUGGAGGUGCGAAAAAUCCCUCUUUGCCGGUGAAACAAAAGGUAAACUCCCCAUUUUUAAUAUUUUAGUUUCGUAUAAAUGAAAAAAUCUAAAAAAAAAAGAAAAAAAUGGUAGAAAAAUAAAACAAAAUGAAACAGAAAAGUAAAACCAUAGUAAAAUCACAUUGAUUUCUUUUUAAGUAUUUGUUGUACUUUGAUUUCUCUGCUUAUAUUAGUCCAAAAGAAAGGGAUCCCCCCUUUACAACAUCAUAUAUUGGCUUUUAUAGCCAUUUUUACACUCUAUUUUCACAUGUUUGCAGGUACGUGCGCAGGUAUACCACUGACGUGGCGUGGUGGAGCAGUGCACGACACGGAGAGGCGUGCGACGUGCGGUGCCUGGAGACUACCUUGGGUGCGGCGGCUGAAGGUGUUGGCUGCUAGGGUUUCAAAGCAUGUUUAGGUUGUGGGCUUGGGUAUUGAGUUAGGGUUUUUUAUUUUGGGCCUGUUUAGGAUUAGCAAUUUGGGUUAUAAUUUUUGGACUGGUUUAAUUAUUUUGGACCAUUGUUUAUUGGGCUCCGGGCGAAAAUUAGGUCCUACAGUUUGCAUAGCCU